UACGAAGGUGGCAAGCGUUACUCGGAAUUACUAGGCGUAAAGGGCAGGUAGGCGGUCUCGUUAGUCUGUUGUGAAAGCUCCUUGCUUAACGGGGAGAGGCCAACAGAUACUGCGAGGCUUGAGUAUAGGAGAGGGUACUGGAAUUCCCGGUGUAGCGGUGAAAUGCGCAGAGAUCGGGAGGAACACCAAUGGCGAAAGCAGGUACCUGGACUAUUACUGACGCUAAGCUGCGAAAGCUAGGGGAGCAAACAGG
rnacentral:rRNA from 1 species